ACUGCAUGCAUUAAUAACACUACUAUUAUUCUCUUUCUAACUAGGAAUUGGAAGCUUCUGGAGAUCAAAUACAGCUUGAUGAAGUUGUCGCAGCUUCACCUGAUGGUGCCUGGCAUGUUAAUAUUGUACAAUCAGACAAUGAUCAUAUUGAGAUUGAGCUUCAGCCUCAUCAGCAUUGCUUACAGAUUAGCAAGAUUAAUGAGAUUGUGAAGGAGAAGAACAUGGAUUCACUUCACAAUUUUGGAGGAGUAAAGGGGGUUGUAGAAGCAUUGAGUAGUGAUGUCGAGAAAGGAAUUCAUGUUGGAGACAUUUCUCGCCGCAAGGGGAUAGACUUGUCUCAUCACAUGACCUUCACUGAGUAUGGCCACUUCUUCCUACAAUUAGCACGCAAGGAACCAACAAUUUUGCUCCUUGCAGUGGCUGCAAUAUUGUCAUUUGCUUUUGGAAUCAAUGAAGAAGGUAUGCAGAAUGGCUGGUUUGAAGGAGCACUUUUGCUUGUGAUCAUAUUUGUGACUGUACUGAUUAAGAUAGCAAGAAUUUGGUACCAAAGGCGCUGUUGGAAGAAGCAAAAUGAUCACAAAGCAAACGCGAUACAAGUUAUGAGAGGAGGCAAAGAAGUGGCAAUCUCGGCCUCAGAUAUUGUUUACGGCGACAUAGCCUUCGUGAAGAAAGGACAUUCUGUUCCUGCACAUGGUUUGUUUGUUUCGGGUGAAGCAUUAGAGCUGUUCCAGCUGGAUGAUGGAAUAUUGUCCAUCGUCAAUGAGAAAAGUCCAUUUUUGCCUCCUGGUUCUAAGGUGAUUAAUGGUGAUGCUAGAAUGAUUGUUACAAGUGUUCAAGUGGACAAACCAAGCCAAGAAAACAAGAUUUCUGAAACGGAGUCCAAUUUUUGUGCCUACUUUGACAAGUUGAGCAAUUGCAUACAUAUUGGUGGGCUAUUGAUUAGCAUUUUGAUCAUUUUGGUGGUGUUCUUGCGCUUUAAAUUGGGCAAGAAAGAUGACGAGAACGGAUAUAGGUUAGAAACCAAGGGAGAACCAGCUGAACUUGCAUCAAUAGUGAAUGCCAUGAAGAAGGUUUUAACAGAAACAAAGGAAACAGCAAGAGUUUGGAUAGCUUUACUCGGUGUUACAAUGUUGGGGAUGACUGAAGGAAUACCAUUUCUUGUUUCAAUUGCAAUAGCAUAUUGGAAUUUAGAUGUUAAGAUGGAACCAGUCACCACUAUCUGUAUAGAAAAGGCUAGCUGGUUGAAAGAGCAAAAAUUGGAAGUUACUCAGUUUUUUCUUGGCAAAAAAGAUGUCACCGAGAUACCGCCACAUGUCUGCAGUGUUCUCUCUGAUGGAAUUGUUGUGUCCACUCUGACUUCUCAAAGAGCCUACCACAGAAUAGAAGAACCAAUACUAUGUUGGGCCGAGAAGAACACGGGUAUGCAAAGAGAGACUUUUGAUCAGCAGUGCACCAUAGUGAAUGACAAUGAUAUUGAGAUGAACCCUUUAGAAGAACCUUGUGGAGUUGUCAUAGAGAAAAAUGGAGACAAUGGGAAAGAGUACUAUUCACACUUCAAGGGCCCUGCUGAAUCAAUAUUGUCCAAGUGUUCCAGUUACUAUGACUUAGAAGGUCAAGUACAGCCCUUGGAUGAUGAAAGAAAGAGUGACUUUGCUCGAGUUAACAACAAUGUGAACGUAGUUGCAUUUGCCUGCAAACGUACUCAGGUUGCCGAACUUGAUGAAAAUGGGCUAACAUUCAUUGGUAUGCUUGUCUUAGAAGAUAGUACUAUCAAUCUGGACAACAUGAAGCAAGCAAUUGCGACUCUGAAAAAAGGCGGAGUGAAGACCAUAUUUGCCUCAGAAGAAGAUGUUGAAGUACUUGAUACUAUUGGUCAUGACACAGGAUUGCUCAAUUCACACGAUGCUCUAGUGGUUAAGGGUGAAGAUUUCUACAACUUCACUGCAGAUGAUAGGAAGGAAAAAGUUGAGAAAAUUUUCAUAAUGGGAAAUUCCUCUCCCGCACACAAGCUUCUUCUCAUAGAGUGUUUGAAGAGAAAAGGUGAAGUGGUGGUUGUGGUAGGAGAACAAGUAGCAGGUGAGUGUAAUCAGCUGGUACUUGAAGCAGCUAAUUUUGGCCUGCCUGUGGUGACUAAUGUAAUGAACUGGCCUGAAAUUAUAACUUUCGUGAUAAACAGGAUAAAGGGAGGAAGAAUUGUUUGUGAGAAUCUAAGGCAAUGGAUCCAACUUGAGCUAAUCUUGGCAAUCAGUAGCUCAUCAAUAAACUUCAUACUGGUUAUAUGCAACAGAGAUGCCCCAUUAACGACAAUUCAGUUAGUUUGGGUUAACCUUCUUGUUACGUUUAUUGGAGGGCCAGCUUUGCUAAUUACUCAACAGACCACAAGAAAACUAAGGGAUGAACUAUCUAUCAAACCGAGAAAACCCCUAGUUACCAAGGUGGUGUGGAGAAACAUACUAUUUCAAGCUAGUUAUCAGACUGGCAUUUUUGUAUAUCUGCAACACCGAGGAAGUGCAAUUCUGUACAUCACUCCAAAAGUUACCAAAAGUGUAGUCUUUAACGGGUUCGCUUUGUGCCAGAUUUUUAACAUGUUCAGUGCAAGGGAGGUGGAACAGAAGAACUUUUUCAAGGGACUUGGCCAAAAUUACUGGUUUUGGGCAGUGUCUGGGCUCUUUCUUGUGUUACAGGUGGGAUUCAUUGAAGUAGAGCCUCUCUUUAGCAAUACGGCACGACUGAAUUGGGAGCAAUGGGGUGGAUGCAUUUUGAUUGGAGCUGUUACAUGGCUGUUUGAUUGGAUAGUAAAAUGGGUAUCAGAAUACAUAAAGAUAGAUAAAUGUGACUGUGGGGUUCUUCACCUAGCUAGAAAGUGCAUAUCCAAUAUUGAUUUCAAGUAUUGCUUUAACAGAAUCAGUUGCUGCCUAAUCAUAUUAUAGCAAGUUCAAACAAAAAAGCUUUCUUUUUCUUCCUAAAAAUUUGGACAUCAAGUUCUAGUUCUUCUUCUUUUGCAGGGCUGGAUAACGAAUAUCGCAUUCACACGUCGUGUGAAAUCAACCAAGUGUAGAGCUAAUACUUUGGUGGAUUAAUCGUAUUGCAGUAGCUGCAGUUUUGAGUACAUCUUUCCCACGUUAUGUUAAUUCUUUCAUUAAGUUUCUCACUGUCACUUGGAUGGAGAAAUGAAGAUGCAAUAUUGUUCUUUUUUCUUUUCCCUUUUAACUAAAUUCAGGAAUGCAAACUUAUUAUGCAGAAAGCAAGAAUUCUAUAAAUUUCAAAUAUAGGAAAUUAAUUUGCUCAAAAUCAGGAUGGAAGCUAGCUAGUCAGUACACAUUCUGCUAAUUUACUGUAGUAAAGGAAGAUUGAUAUCAUAUGCAAAAAUAUAGCUUACCUCAAUGUAGAUUUUCUCAAACUUGGUGUAAAUAAUGUACUAGAGAGCUUUUCUUGAGGAAAAUUUAACUAGCCAGGGAUGCUACUGCAAGACUUUAACUUCA
rnacentral:lncRNA from 1 species